rnacentral:rRNA from 1 species
CCACGGGUGGCUGCAGUGGGGAAUAUUGGACAAUGGGCGAAAGCCUGAUCCAGCCAUGCCGCGUGUGUGAAGAAGGCCUUCGGGUUGUAAAGCACUUUCAGUGGGGAAGAAAGCCUUGGGGCUAAUACCCUCGAGGAAGGACAUCACCCACAGAAGAAGCCCCGGCUAACUCCGUGCCAGCAGCCGCGGUAAUACGGAGGGUGCGAGCGUUAAUCGGAAUUACUGGGCGUAAAGCGCGCGUAGGCGGUCUGAUAAGCCGGUUGUGAAAGCCCCGGGCUCAACCUGGGAACGGCAUCCGGAACUGUCAGGCUAGAGUGCAGGAGAGGAAGGUAGAAUUCCCGGUGUAGCGGUGAAAUGCGUAGAGAUCGGGAGGAAUACCAGUGGCGAAGGCGGCCUUCUGGACUGACACUGACGCUGAGGUGCGAAAGCGUGGGUAGCAAACAGGAUUAGAUACCCUAGUAGUC